rnacentral:lncRNA from 1 species
AAUCACAGGGUUUUGAGAAUGAGGGGUGUAUUCUUUUUCUACAUUGGGGAAAGCCCUGAGAUUUUUUCCCCGGCUGUAAUUGACUGUCUUUAUAAUUUUAGAGUUAGUACAAUAUCGGACUCUCAUUACUGUUUCAUCCCUUUAUAAAAUAGGGCGCCCCAUUGAAGGACUUAUGUCUAAUUCCCCAACAUGGUUUCAAAGUUUCAACUAUCCAAUGUAUGUAAAGAGGGGAAGAAGUCUGAAAAAUGAAUUUUGUAUGAAGAUCUGAAUAUCAUUCUUA